rnacentral:rRNA from 1 species
CAGCAGCCGCGGUAAUACGAAGGGGGCUAGCGUUGCUCGGAAUGACUGGGCGUAAAGCGUGCGCAGGCGGUUAUAUAAGACAGAUGUGAAAUCCCCGGGCUCAACCUGGGAACUGCAUUUGUGACUGUAUAGCUAGAGUACGGCAGAGGGGGAUGGAAUUCCGCGUGUAGCAGUGAAAUGCGUAGAUAUGCGGAGGAACACCGAUGGCGAAGGCAAUCCCCUGGGCCUGUACUGACGCUCAUGCACGAAAGCGUGGGGAGCAAACAGGAUUAGAUACCCCCGUAGUCCCUGUCUCUUAUAC